rnacentral:lncRNA from 1 species
AACAAGAAUGUGUCCACAGUACACGGAUGCCCCACUCACACUAUCAUUUUCUAUGUUUAAAGGACUGUGAAAUUGAAAUAAAUUCUCUAAUUUGGCAUUAAAAUUAGAAUGAUCUUAUCAAAGGGAACAUGUAUACUAAGUUUCAAGUUGAUUGGACUUCUACUUUAUCAAAAACUACCUUGACCAAAAACUUUAACUGAAAUUUGCACUAUCAUUUUCUAUGUUCAGUGAACCGUAGAAUUGGGGUCAAAACUCUAAUUUGGCAUUUAAAUUAGAAAGAUCAUAUCAUAGGGCACAUGUAUACUAAGUUUCAAGUUGAUUGGACUUCAACUUCAUCAAAAACUACCUUGACCAAAAACUUUAACCUGAAGCCAAAAACUUUAACCUGAAAUUUGCACUAUCAUUUUCUAUGUUCAGUGAACCGUAAAAUUGGGGUCAAAACUCUAAUUUGGCAUUUAAAUUAGAAAGAUCAUAUCAUAGGGCA